GUGAUGCAAAUGCGCCGCUUUAUCCGCCCCAGCGCACCCACCACCCCAGCGCGGGCGGGCGGGCGUCCCCAACGUCCACAGACCCUUCUUAAUUUUCGAAUGCAUGCGAAGGCCACAUCUUAAGGUGGGAAAACAGCAACCAAAACCAAAACGCAGACAAAAAGAACUCGAGCUCAGAACCUCAGGGUCAUUUCUGGGCUCUGUCCCAGGAAGCUCCCGGGCCAAAUCUGGCCGAGGUGCAUCCAGGCCAAGUCCGGGCUGCGCCACCGCGCUUCGUCAAGCCCACGCCCGCGGCACCCUCCGCGCCUCUCGCGGGCAGCGGCCCAGUCCUCUCCCGGGAAGGGGCGCGCGGUCGCCAUCCAGCCGAGGUGGGGGUCCCCCUAUCGCCCAGACUCGGUUUGCGUCCUUCUCUCAACCUUAGCCGAGGGCCCCUGCCACUCGCAAUAACACCGCUACAUCCUCUGCCCCGAAACUUCCCGCCGAGCAACACCCAGCCAUUAACCCCAUCCUCUCCUCCAACACAGAAUUCCAUGCACGAACCUAUUCCCUCUCCCCGCGCUUCAGACACCUCUCUCAUCGGAAAACCGCGUGAAGGGAAGCAGGCACUCAGCAGAGGACCCUGGCUCAAUUAGUCAGGCACUGUCUCCAGUUAUUGGGGAAUACAAUCGUGCCAAUUGAGUCAUAAAUGGAAAAAAAAAAAAUUCCAAACCCGGGAGGCUGGCGAGGACCGCAGGCUGCAGGGCCACUUCCCUUUGGGCUCUGCGAGGUCGCUGGGGAAGGGGGAGAGAAGACCUCAGUGCUCCUGCCCGGUGCCAGGCGCUGUGCCACGGAAGGAAGGCGGGCACUCACUGCCCGGUCUCCAAAGACGCUUUCCCGACUGUCUGGUGCAGCCAGGGCCCCGGCUCCGGCCCUCAUUCCU